GACUAAUGAGCUCAGAUGGUAAAGCCUCUGCCUACAAUGCAGAAGACCUGGGUUCAAUCCCUGGGUCG
rnacentral:tRNA from 1 species